rnacentral:snRNA from 1 species
UCUUCAAUUUAAAGACACAGA